GUGGGAUCAGCAUCACAAAUAAAAGUUAGGGUUGGUAUGAAAGAAUUAGACUCAUGCAGUGAGUCUCCGUUGGAGAAAUUUAAAGAGGACAUACUUGAGGAAAUUCGCAAAGAACUGCAGAAAAUAAAGGAUGAAAUCACUCAAGGUAAGAAUAUGCAUUUAUGUAUUAAUGAAUAAUUGAAUGCGUAAUGGAAAAUGGUAAUUGGUUCGAUUCCAUGUAGCACACAUAGUGUAUUGUAUAUUUCAUACUGUGUGCUCAGAUGACCACUUGCAGCCUGUCUUCUUAACAGGUUAGGAUAGGUGCACCAACAGUGUGGUGUCUUGUGUUGACAGUCUUCCCAUUUACUUCCCAGUUUGCUUCACAAUAGAUAGAUAGAUAG